UGAAGUUCUUGCUUGCUAUCCUGCUACUUAUCGUGGUUUGUGAUGCUUACGGAGAUCCUGAUUCUUACAUUGGCAGAUGGGAACAAUGUGGGAAUCAUCCCUUUGACAAGGUUGGGGCACGAUAUUGCGAAGUUGACGACUGCUUUGGUUUUGCUGGGUCCUUCCUUCUCCUGAACUUCAAUGGGACGAACCACGCAGGACACCCUAUUGACGUGGGAGCACGGGCGUACGUUCAUAUUGUUGACAAUCCUCAAGACUCAUUCCACUAUAGCAGCCACUGUCAAGAUCUGGGGACAAACUAUCCAUGCCGAGCGACUCCUAAGCAACGCGUAAGCGGUUACGCUAGAGUCGACCUUCCUAGCAGUUUGAAAAAGGGACUAGCAAGAAUAAACUUCGAAAUUCCUGACGUCGGAUGUGGUAUGACGUACUUUCUAGUGUC